UUAAGCGACUAAGCGUACACGGUGGAUGCCCUGGCAGUCAGAGGCGAUGAAGGACGUGCUAAUCUGCGAUAAGCGUCGGUAAGGUGAUAUGAACCGUUAUAACCGGCGAUUUCCGAAUGGGGAAACCCAGUGUGUUUCGACACACUAUCAUUAACUGAAUCCAUAGGUUAAUGAGGCGAACCGGGGGAACUGAAACAUCUAAGUACCCCGAGGAAAAGAAAUCAACCGAGAUUCCCCCAGUAGCGGCGAGCGAACGGGGAGGAGCCCAGAGCCUGAAUCAGUGUGUGUGUUAGUGGAAGCGUCUGGAAAGGCGUGCGAUACAGGGUGACAGCCCCGUACACAAAAAUGCACAUGCUGUGAGCUCGAUGAGUAGGGCGGGACACGUGGUAUCCUGUCUGAAUAUGGGGGGACCAUCCUCCAAGGCUAAAUACUCCUGACUGACCGAUAGUGAACCAGUACCGUGAGGGAAAGGCGAAAAGAACCCCGGCGAGGGGAGUGAAAAAGAACCUGAAACCGUGUACGUACAAGCAGUGGGAGCACAGAGCAAUCUGUGUGACUGCGUACCUUUUGUAUAAUGGGUCAGCGACUUAUAUUCUGUAGCAAGGUUAACCGAAUAGGGGAGCCGAAGGGAAACCGAGUCUUAACUGGGCGUUAAGUUGCAGGGUAUAGACCCGAAACCCGGUGAUCUAGCCAUGGGCAGGUUGAAGGUUGGGUAACACUAACUGGAGGACCGAACCGACUAAUGUUGAAAAAUUAGCGGAUGACUUGUGGCUGGGGGUGAAAGGCCAAUCAAACCGGGAGAUAGCUGGUUCUCCCCGAAAGCUAUUUAGGUAGCGCCUCGUGAAUUCAUCUCCGGGGGUAGAGCACUGUUUCGGCAAGGGGGUCAUCCCGACUUACCAACCCGAUGCAAACUGCGAAUACCGGAGAAUGUUAUCACGGGAGACACACGGCGGGUGCUAACGUCCGUCGUGAAGAGGGAAACAACCCAGACCGCCAGCUAAGGUCCCAAAGUCAUGGUUAAGUGGGAAACGAUGUGGGAAGGCCCAGACAGCCAGGAUGUUGGCUUAGAAGCAGCCAUCAUUUAAAGAAAGCGUAAUAGCUCACUGGUCGAGUCGGCCUGCGCGGAAGAUGUAACGGGGCUAAACCAUGCACCGAAGCUGCGGCAGCGACACUAUGUGUUGUUGGGUAGGGGAGCGUUCUGUAAGCCUGUGAAGGUGUACUGUGAGGUAUGCUGGAGGUAUCAGAAGUGCGAAUGCUGACAUAAGUAACGAUAAAGCGGGUGAAAAGCCCGCUCGCCGGAAGACCAAGGGUUCCUGUCCAACGUUAAUCGGGGCAGGGUGAGUCGACCCCUAAGGCGAGGCCGAAAGGCGUAGUCGAUGGGAAACAGGUUAAUAUUCCUGUACUUGGUGUUACUGCGAAGGGGGGACGGAGAAGGCUAUGUUGGCCGGGCGACGGUUGUCCCGGUUUAAGCGUGUAGGCUGGUUUUCCAGGCAAAUCCGGAAAAUCAAGGCUGAGGCGUGAUGACGAGGCACUACGGUGCUGAAGCAACAAAUGCCCUGCUUCCAGGAAAAGCCUCUAAGCAUCAGGUAACAUCAAAUCGUACCCCAAACCGACACAGGUGGUCAGGUAGAGAAUACCAAGGCGCUUGAGAGAACUCGGGUGAAGGAACUAGGCAAAAUGGUGCCGUAACUUCGGGAGAAGGCACGCUGAUAUGUAGGUGAAGCGACUUGCUCGUGGAGCUGAAAUCAGUCGAAGAUACCAGCUGGCUGCAACUGUUUAUUAAAAACACAGCACUGUGCAAACACGAAAGUGGACGUAUACGGUGUGACGCCUGCCCGGUGCCGGAAGGUUAAUUGAUGGGGUCAGCGCAAGCGAAGCUCUUGAUCGAAGCCCCGGUAAACGGCGGCCGUAACUAUAACGGUCCUAAGGUAGCGAAAUUCCUUGUCGGGUAAGUUCCGACCUGCACGAAUGGCGUAAUGAUGGCCAGGCUGUCUCCACCCGAGACUCAGUGAAAUUGAACUCGCUGUGAAGAUGCAGUGUACCCGCGGCAAGACGGAAAGACCCCGUGAACCUUUACUAUAGCUUGACACUGAACAUUGAGCCUUGAUGUGUAGGAUAGGUGGGAGGCUUUGAAGUGUGGACGCCAGUCUGCAUGGAGCCGACCUUGAAAUACCACCCUUUAAUGUUUGAUGUUCUAACGUUGACCCGUGAUCCGGGUUGCGGACAGUGUCUGGUGGGUAGUUUGACUGGGGCGGUCUCCUCCUAAAGAGUAACGGAGGAGCACGAAGGUUGGCUAAUCCUGGUCGGACAUCAGGAGGUUAGUGCAAUGGCAUAAGCCAGCUUGACUGCGAGCGUGACGGCGCGAGCAGGUGCGAAAGCAGGUCAUAGUGAUCCGGUGGUUCUGAAUGGAAGGGCCAUCGCUCAACGGAUAAAAGGUACUCCGGGGAUAACAGGCUGAUACCGCCCAAGAGUUCAUAUCGACGGCGGUGUUUGGCACCUCGAUGUCGGCUCAUCACAUCCUGGGGCUGAAGUAGGUCCCAAGGGUAUGGCUGUUCGCCAUUUAAAGUGGUACGCGAGCUGGGUUUAGAACGUCGUGAGACAGUUCGGUCCCUAUCUGCCGUGGGCGCUGGAGAACUGAGGGGGGCUGCUCCUAGUACGAGAGGACCGGAGUGGACGCAUCACUGGUGUUCGGGUUGUCAUGCCAAUGGCACUGCCCGGUAGCUAAAUGCGGAAGAGAUAAGUGCUGAAAGCAUCUAAGCACGAAACUUGCCCCGAGAUGAGUUCUCCCUGACUCCUUGAGAGUCCUGAAGGAACGUUGAAGACGACGACGUUGAUAGGCCGGGUGUGUAAGCGCAGCGAUGCGUUGAGCUAACCGGUACUAAUGAACCGUGAGGCUUAACCUU
rnacentral:rRNA from 1 species